rnacentral:lncRNA from 1 species
GGCUAAGGAAAAGGAAGGAUAAAUAUGGAUAAGAAGUUACAAACCAAAAGAAAUAGAGGAGCAACGGGGAACAAGUGUAAACAAUCAAAUAACACCCAAACCCUCUAAUUCAAUCCUCUUCUUGACUCCAUCACUCACAAAUUUUUUAUUUUUCUCAUUUUUCUGUAUUUUAUUUUCUUUUUUUUUCUCAUCUUGUCUCUUUUCUUUUCUCUCUUUUCAGAACAAGACUCAGAGGCAAGAUGUACACAACAUAUUUACAAAAAUAAAAACAAGAAAAGGAACCAACUAGCCAAUUCAUCUUAAUCCCCCGGGAGACCACACUUAUUUCCAAAACAAUUCCAAAGCUCCAAAAUUCCCUAAGGUUAAGGUAAUCAUGGUUUUUCACUUAGGGCUAGUGUAUGAGCUUCAAAACAAAGAACUGGGGAAAGUAAAGGCUCAAAGGGGCUAUUAAAGGAUCAAAACAAGGUAGACUCAUUUGGCUAGAGAGGCUCAACAACAAAACUGCCUUUAUCACUUCCAAACAUGCAUAUCAAUCAAGAAACAUCAAAAAGAGUCAAGCCAAGGCAUAUGUGCAAGCAAUUCAGAGACAUAUCAAACACAAGAAAGAAUAUCAAGUGGCUCAAGUCUCACACAGGGUAAUUCUGUCACAAUCAAUCCAACCUCUCAAACAUCAUAAUCAUCUUUCCAAGCAAAGAAAAGCAUGAAUUUCAAGCAAAUCAGAGUAUCAAUGAAGUGAAAGACAAGUCUACAACCUAAACCAAGUCCAGAAAUCAUGAGAAACAUGCAAAACUGCACACAAGACAAAACAAAAACUACGUAGAAAACAAAAAAUUUAACGCAGAAAACAUAAAAUAACAACGAAAAAUUAGAAUCUCCCCCAAUAGACCACACUUAAACUACACAGUGUCCUCAAUGUGUCACAAGCAUAAGAUCACAAUGAUAACAAACAACAGAUCAAGGACAAGGGCAAUAAGAGCGGGAAAGGAGGAGGAGAAGGGAAAAGAAAAAUCCCCUAAUCAUGGUGGCAGUUGCCAAUUUUGGACUUUCAGGGAGAUGUCUUUCACCACAGGAUUCAGCAAGGAGGUGUUGAGGAAGAACUGCUUCAUCCUCCAUAUUUGAUCGAGUAGGGAGAUGUCCUCCACAGCUGGAUCUAAGAAGCAGUUAUUGUUGAUGAGUGAGUUCAGUUGGUGCCCAAUGAUAUUCAAGCUUUUGUGUACAUUGGCACCCUUGUCUUCCACCGUGGGUGUUUGUUGAUCAAAUUCAUGUGUACCUCCUGCAACAUGGUUAGUGCAAUGUGGUUCCAAAGAAAUGAUAUGCAGAGGUAUAACACCCAAUCCAAAUGUAACAGGCUGAACCUUAGAUAAACUCUCAGAACAUGAAUCAAAUUCAAAUGAAGAAACAAUAUCAACAAUAGGCUCAGAUUCAUGUUCAGUGCAUGGAGAACAAACAUUCAUAUGUGAUAUCAAACAAUGGUUCUCAUCAUGCAAAGAGGUAGAAUUAAAAUCAUGCUCAUCAACAUACCUAUCAUCAGCAUAAUCAUCAACAACAAAAUCAAUAAUAGGUAUGUUUACCUCCACUUCCUUGAAAGUUGGUAGAGUGGUGGAAGGUGAAGCUGGUCUACCUAUCUCAAAAGUGUUGCUCAUAUCUGCCUGGUCCUCCAAAUCUUCAUCAGUCUCUUCAAGUGCAAGAGUAGGGACAUAGGAGGGUGGGAAAGUAGGUGGCACAAUAGUUAGCUCAUGACUCUGCUCCCCAUCUCCUAUGUGGAUGGCACCAACAUCAUCUGGAAGCUGAACAACCUGAAAUGGUGAUUCCUCUAAAACAUAAGAUUGUUCCUCAGUGAGCUGAGUGGCCAUCUGCCCCAUCUAAUCAGUCAAACUCUGAAUGGAAGCUCUGGUCUCCUGUUGAAACUCCAUGUUCUCUUGCCGGAACUGAAUGUUCAGAAUAGUCAUUUGCUCCAAUAACUCCUUCAAUGUAGGCUCAGAAGUAGUGGAAAGAUGAGGAGUUGCUUGGGCAGGCUCAUGAAACUGCAACUGCUGUGGUUCCUGGACAGGGGGAGGCAUACAAGCACUCUGUAAUGGUGGUUCUUGAUAUUGAAGUUGUGAAGUACCAUACCAUCCUAGGUUAGGAUCAUUCCACCCAAGAUCAUUGCUAUAUGAAUCAAAAUGAUGCUGAGUAGGGCAAAAUCUUUCCAAAAACCGAUGCUUAAGAUCUUCCUAAUUGGCCUUGAAUUCUGGAGGAAGAUAAUAAAGUCCUUCCCAUGCUACUUCUUUUACCGAAUGCAAAAAUGCCUUUAAGAAAAUGCGAUCAUCUCGGACAUGUGGAGGUUUCAUUUCAGAGCAAAUGCAUUGGAACCUCUCCAAAUGUCUAUGUGGGCAUUCACCUACAGAACCAUAAAACCUAGGCAGCAAAUCUCUCAGUCUAGAGGUGAGAACGCAAUGAACAUCAUCCUCACUAUGUGAAACUGGCUCCCAAAGAGCACUCUCAAGAAUGAGAGGAUAAGUCAUAUUGUUCUCAAAAUAAAAGUCAGUAGAAUAUGGAUGAGAAGCAAUAUCAGAGUUAAAUGUAGAAGGAGAAUCAAAGUCAUGGACAUAGGCAGAAUAAGCAUUAUUCACAGAAUCAAAAUAGGUAGACAUGUAGAAAAAAGAGGGGGGGGGGAAAGAAGAAUGGAAUGAAAAUAUACAACUAAAGCUGUCUAAAUGCAACACAUAUGACACGACACACAAAACGAAACAACACACUCAUAACACGAGACAAAACACAACACACACAAACACAACAAAAGACCUAAAACCGAACCGUUGGUCCCCGGCAACGGCGCCAAAAUUUGAUGGGGGUCGCACCCCAUGCAAAAUUUAAUGAGCAUAAAAGAAUGCAGUAUAGCUAGGAAGUGACUCCUAGGUCGUCUCUCAAGGACCAAACUGUGGUUCGAGAAUCAGGUUAAACACACACAGUGGGGAGGGGGGGGUUGAAGGUGUUUGAGACGAGAAUUAAACUCAACUAAAAUGCAUGGAAAUUAAACACAACCGAAUAAUAUAGAAAACAUUAAAGUAAAAUAAAAUGCUAAACCCAACAUUACAUAGACAAUUAUCUAGCACAGUUAAAAUUAUUUAAAUGCAACAACUAAGCUAAACAUUAAAAGCAAUUCAUCAUGGUAAAAAUACUAAAAAAACAAGGGAAAGCAUGAAUAGUGAAAAAUGAACCAUCUUCCAAAGACGUGUCAGUACAGUGGAAUAAAACGCAUGCUCCAAUCUAUUUAUCCAAAUGAAAGCAGCAAGCCAAAUUAAAUUCCUCUCAAUUCUCCAUUCAGCCGUAAGAUAUAAAAUAAAUAAAAAAAAAAUUCCUCUCCAAAGGUGAUAAACGUGGCAGCUCCAAAAGUGCUAAAUGAAAUAAAAAUGUAAACUUUGCUCAUCAAGGUCGUGACUUGGCAGCAACCGAAAUCUUCAUUUUAUCUUGACAUUCAACGCUCUCCACUAGAUGUGAGCGUGACUCAAUCAAAACAAUUUAAAUCAUCACCUUCAUCCCAAAUAAAAUCAAAACAUGAAAAGAAAAUAUGGAAGCAGCAAGCAUUAAAAGGGGAAUUGAAAACAACAUUAUAAUUUAUGGAAUAUUAAAUGAACAUAACAGCAACAUGCAGUCAGUGCUUCUCUUCUUCAAACAAGUAAAAGAAAAAAAAACUAGCUCCAACGCUCAGCUGCCAACACGUCCCAUCAGCCCUAGCCUUCACCUAAUCCACUCUUAACUCAUUCAAAGCCAAAAGAAGUGUCAACGGGUGCAACAACCUUGCUCUCACCUACUCACCUCUCCAACACCGAGAAAAAGCGAAGCAAAAGAACAAUGCUCAUUCCUUUUAACCAAUUCCCAUCACCGUCAACAUCAUCUAACUUUCUCAAAAAAAAUAAAACACGUUCCAGCAGCUAGAAUGUGUCUCGGCUGCACCACCUUUGCCAAACGUUCCAGUAGCUUCUCUCCUAAAACUUCCAGCAGCCGAGAGAAAAAAAUGUGCCUUAAAAGUGUGACGGCUGGACCUACCUCCCAAGGCCAUAUGUCUUAAAAUUAGGGGUGGGGUCCACCCUAAAAAAUAAACCUAGGUCAUGUGCCAAGUAUCCUAUAAUUUUGGGCCCCUCAUAAUUUUUUAACAAUGGCCCAAUGUGCAAAAGUUUGUCCAAAAAGUUUAAAUAAUUAAAAUUACAAUACAACUAAAAUUUAAAAUGUCUAAUUUGAGAGUCCUGAAAUUAUUUGGUGUCCUCCAAAUGUCCCAAAUUGUGUUUCCAAAAUUUUUCCUGAAAAUAAUAAUGCAAAUAAUUAGCUCAGAAAAUUCAAAUUAAUUAAAAUUAGAAUUUCCGGUCAAAUUAAGCAUAUUUAAGAAAAACGGGAAAAUACAGGACAAUUAAGCACAAUUCCCUGAUUAAUUCUAGCACAAUAAACUAAGUGAAAUCAAUAAAAUAUCGACUCAUCAACAGGUUAGCUUCGUUUUACACCAAGAGGGGGGGGGGGUGAAUUGGUGUUAGUUCAAAUUUAAAAUCUUUUCGCAAUCUUGGUAUGAAAAUUCAAAGCUUUUGAUCUUUCCUUGAAAUGCAAGUUAUUGAAAAAUGUAAUACAGCGAAAAAAUGUAGUUGACUGCUAAACAGGUAUAGUCGACUGAAUUUAAAGAGUGCAAGGAUAGAGAAAAUCAAACACUGAUUUUUAUACUGGUUCGGCCGACAAUGCCUACAUCCAGUGCCCUUCCAACUUUGGAAGCAAAUGUACUAUAAUGGUUGCGGUUUUUACAGCAAGGAAUUUAUAGAAGCACCACGCAAAAAUAUAUAUCUCCUCUCUAACCCAAAACCAAAUAUAGCUGCACACAAAAACCAGAAUUGCAGCUAGAAUCCCCUUUCCUGCAAUUUGCACCCACGUUGAACAUUCCUCAACGUGUCACCAACACUCUUCACAGGAUGCCAAGCCUAUCACAGCACGCUUCAGAGGUUGCCAUUCCCUUCCUCAAGCAAUUCACGUCCAAACUAACAAAGGGGUGAAUACCAAAAUAGAAAUAUUCCUUCUAUGGAAAAUGUGCCUCAACAUGUGCUUGUCCAAAUGGGGUAAAAAUUAAAUAUUCCAUUUCUCUCUCCUUUUUCAACAUCAAACAGUUUCUUCACUUCUCAACAAACUUCACAAGCUUUUCUCCACCUCUCAUUACCAAGAAUGCAUGCCACACAUAGGUUUCCAUUGCCAAAAAAAUUACAAGAACAACAAACCCAAAUUCUAACUUCUACACACCAACCCAACACUCACUUUUCUUCAAACUUUUGAUAAAAGCAAAAUGAAAUCCCUAGACUUCCUUGCAUUACCGUCCAGCCCUCCAAACAAAAUGCAAUGUUCCAUUUCAUACAUUACUUCCGUCCAUCAAAGGAAAAACACAAGAAGGAAAUGGUUCAAGCUACAAACACCCACUAAUCAACUCAAGUUCUCUUCACUUCAAAACUUAAUGGGAACCAUAUUCUUCUUCAUUCAACAAAGAAACUUAAACAUAAACAUCCAAAGUGCAGUAAAAGGAAACGAAAAUACAAAAUGGGUCUUCAUUCAACCAAAGGAAACACCAUGAAAAUGCAAGGAACAACCUCCAAACUCAAGCUCUUAACCUUCAAAACGAAAAUAUAAGAAGAGAAAUGAUAGAUCUCCAUUCCAUUAAACAAGAACAAGCAUGUUUGCAAGCAAGAGAAGAAGAAAAAAGAAAUCUUGUUCAUUCCAUAGCUCAAAACUGAAAGGGCACACUAAAGCUCCCAAGAGAGAGUUCAUACAAGGCAAAGCAAAACGAAAGUGUAGUAUGAAGUGUGCUAGAGUGUGUCUCGGCCAUUCUUACUCAAAAUGCCGUCCCACACUUAAUAGUGGGGUCCACCUUUAAGAAACCCUAGGGUUUGGUGCCAAGUGUCCCACACAUUGGGCUUCUACAAAAUUUGCCACAAAAAGGGCCCAAAUGCACUUAAUCCUAAUUAAAGUUUCUAAAAACGAAAUUACAACUUAAUUAAAAUGGAAAUGACUAAAUGUUGAGUCUUGAAUGAUCACGCCACCUUCCCUAAUGCUCCAAAUGAUGUUUCCAAAAUUUCCCUACAUCCAAAAAAUGCAAUUAAUUAGCUCAGAAAAUUCAAAUUAGCUAAAAUACGAAUUUCCGACCAAAUUAAGCAAAAUUCGGAAAAAUGGGGAAAUAACAGACAAUUAAACACAAUUCCCUGAUUUAUUUAAGUGCAAUAAACUAAAUACAGUCAAGAAAAUAACGACUCAUCAAAAUAGACCACACUUAGUCUUUUGCACUCCUGGGCAAAACCAAGACGAAAACCAGGGAACUACUCAAACAUUAGGGAGGUGACACAGACUCGAUAAACAGACAACGAAGACUCACAAAACAAAAACAGAGUUGCACAACUCUUACAAAAUCUGGACAGUGAAAGGCAUAGGUAGAAUCCCACACAGAGUCAAUGAAAACAUAUACUCAGAGAAUCAUCCAAACAGUUCAGUACAUGGAAAACAGUCAAUCAGUUCGAGAGAUUAAUCAAAAGCAACAGAGUCUCAUAGAUGCACACAAUCGAUGUUUCUCUCAAGUGUUCAAGGUAAAUCAUUGUCACUCGAUGCACUCAAGAAAGCAAACACAAAUAGACUUGGCAAGCCUCUAAUAUCAACACUCAAAACAUAUAUGCAUGUUCAAAUCAAAAGGUCUUUUAUGGAUGUAAUGGGGUCAAGAAAAAAGGAGGAUAAAUAUGGAUGAGAAGCUACAAACCAAAAGAAAUAGAGGAGCAAUGGGGAACAAGUGUAAACACAAUCAAAUCACACCCAAAACCUCUAAUUAAAUCCUCUUCUUGACUCCAUUGUUCACAAAAUAAUUUCUUUUUUUUCUUCUCAUUUUUCUGUAUUUUUUUUCCUUUUUUUUUUCAUCUUAUCUCUUUUCUCUUCUCUCUUUUCAGAAUACAACUCUAAGAGACAAGAUACACAACAUAUUUACAAAACAAAACAAGAAGAGGAACCAACUAGCCAAUUCUCUGAAUCCCCCGGAAGACCACACUUAUUCCCAAAAAAAUUCCAAAGCUCCGAAAUUC